AUGCACCGGGUGGCCAUGGCGGAGGGCGGCGGCGCCGGCGGGGGGAGGACGCUGGGGGCCGUCAUCCGGGAGAAGGACGAGGAGCUGGCGCUCUUCCUCGAGAUGCGCCGCCGCGACAAGGAGCGGGCCGGCGCCGCCGCUGACAUGCUGCUCGCCGCCGACGGCGAGGACGCGGACGCGGACGGGCUGCUGCUGCUCGACCCCUCCCCGCCGCCGCCUCCGCCGCAGCCACCAGCCGGUAAGGACGACGAGCCCCGACGCACGCUCCCUGUCCGGACCCGUCCGGACCCCUGUCGGGGAUUUUGCUGCCGUUUUCUCCCCCCUUUGGCGAAAACCCUAGCUUAUCCAUUUUGGUCCGGGUUUAUGGGCGCAGAGCCCAGGGCGGCGCCGGCGCCGGCGUACAGGAUGGCCGGCGGGUUCAGGCGGGCGCCCGGCGGGGCCGACGACUUCCUCCACUCCGACGCCGGGGACAAGAGCGACUACGACUGGCUUCUCACUCCACCUGGAACUCCACUCUUCCCAUCUCAUGAAGCUGCGCCAAAAAGGUCUCCGGUGAGCCAAACAGGAUCACCAAAGACUCGCCAGAACUCCUUGAAAUCAAGGUUGGCCAAUCAUCCAGAUCCUCCAUCAAGAACCACACAUCCAUUGAGAACAACAUCAUCAAACAGCUUAAACUCAGCUGCGACAACUCGUCGGCCGACAUCAUCUGGAGGGCUUACGUCUAAUUCUUCAAGACCUUCAACACCAACUGGACGUGCUGCAUCGACCGCCACAUCCAAAGGUUCAAGACCUUCAUCUCCCAAUGCUCGGGCAACUCUGCCUGCCAAGACUGCACCUACUGCCCCAAGAUCGUCGACGCCCACUUCCAGGUCAACACUCCCUUCAACAAGGUCAGCACUGCCUUCAUCAAGGUCAACAACUCCAUCAAGGACAUCUGGCCCUGCUACUGCUACCAGGACAUCUGGCCCUGCUGCUGCUACCAGGACAUCUGGCCCUGCUGCUGCUACCAGGACAUCUGGCCCUGCUACUGCUACCAGGACAUCAGUUCCUUCAGGCAGAGCAUCAGCACCUGCUAGCAGAUCAUCAACGCCUACUUCAAGAUCAUCAAUGCCUGCUACUAGGUCAACUACACCUUUGUCAAGGCCCUCCUUACCAGCACAAAGCAAGCCUGCAUCAAGGUCAUCAACCCCAACAAGGCGGUCUUCUGCCCCUCCUACCCACGCCCAGCACAGUAACUUGCCCGGACCAGUUCGAUCCUCCUCAAUCUCUAGACCAGGACCUACAAUGCCCAAAAGUUCUGCAUUGCCAGCAACAACAACAGCGCCAGCACCUUCAAGGGGCAGCUCACCUACUGUCAAAUCAAGACCAUGGAAACCAUCUGAAAUGCCUGGCUUCUCACUUGAUGCACCUCCAAAUUUGAGGACGUCGCUACCGGAAAGACCAACCUCUGCUACUCGGGGUAGGCCUGGCGCACCUAGUUCUAGAUCUUCCUCUGUGGAGCCUGGGCCAGCUGCUCGACCGAAACGCCAGUCUUGCUCUCCUUCAAGAGGGAGGACAUCAAAUGGCAGUGUGCCUUCAGGGAGUUCCAUGCCGGCAGUGAGAAGAUCACAUCUUAACGGAGGUGACAGCGUGAACCCAGUUCAGAUGGGCAAUAAGAUGGUUGAGAGGGUAGUGAACAUGAGAAGACUAGCUCCUCCAAAACAUGAUGAUCAAAGAUCCAGUCUCAAUAGUUUGUCUGGAAAAUCAUUAAAUUCUCCAGAUAGCUCUGGCUUCGGUCGGUCACUGUCAAAGAAGUCACUGGACAUGGCACUUCGGCACAUGGACAUACGGCGCAGCAUUCCAAACAAUCUACGGCCUCUUAUGACGAGCAUUCCAGCAUCAUCUGUGCAUAGCGGCCGGUCUGGAUCCACAAGGGGCAGACCGAUAAGUGUAUCAGACUCCCCUCUUGCAACUAGCAGCAACGCCAGCUCGGAGCCGAGCGUCAACAACAACCUGAUGUGCUUUGACAGCAUCGACAUUGACGAUGAGCUGUGCAGCGAUAGAGCAGGACAUUAUGCACGAUGA
rnacentral:rRNA from 1 species